GACGAACGCUGGCGGCGUGCUUAACACAUGCAAGUCGAGCGAGAAAGCGGCUUCGGCCGUGAGUACAGCGGCGAACGGGUGAGUAACACGUGGGCAACCUGCCCCGGAGACUGGGAUAACAGCCCGAAAGGGCUGCUAAUACCGGAUAACGUGCGAUCUGCCAAGUGGAUCGCACCAAAUGGUAGCCUCGGCUUCUGCUCUGGGAUGGGCCCGCGGCGGAUUAGCUUGUUGGUGAGGUAACGGCUCACCAAGGCGACGAUCCGUAGCUGGUCUGAGAGGACGAUCAGCCACACUGGGACUGAGACACGGCCCAGACUCCUACGGGAGGCUG
rnacentral:rRNA from 1 species